rnacentral:rRNA from 1 species
UACGUAGGGGGCAGGCGUUGUCCGGAAUCAUUGGGCGUAAAGCGCGCGUAGGCGGCCCGGUAAGUCCGCUCUGAAAGUCCAGGGCUUAACCCUGGAAAGCGGGUGGAUACUGCCGGGCUUGAAUCCGGAAGAGGCGAGUGGAAUUCCUGGUGUAGCGGUGGAAUGCGCAGAUAUCAGGAGGAACACCGGUGGCGAAGGCGGGUCUCUGGGCCGAUACUGACGCUGAGGAGCGAAAGCGUGGGGAGCGAACAGG